UGGUACAGUCCAGCCGCUGGGUUUCCAACCCCCUCUCUCCGCGGUUCAAGUUUCUGCGCCCGGAGGACGCGGCCUUGGCCAAUCCCAGGGCUACAGGGCGCUUUUAAAAUGCAGGUCUAUAUCAAGACACAGAAUGGCUGAGUCAUCAGCAUGCACAGCUUCAACUCAACCAGGUGAUGCCAAACUGCUUUCCAGAGAGGUGGCACUCAUUUGCCCUCCUGCCAGCAGGAUGCAGUGCGUGCCUUGCCCGUCCUCGCUGAUGCCCAGGGUUGUCACUCUGGAAGGCCACAGAAGUGUCUGGAAUUGAAGCAUCGAGAAGCAGCAAUGUCAGUGUCUUACGAGAAAUGUGCAGGCCAGACCCGAAAGACAACUAACAGCGGAAACGGGUUACCCUGGGGGGUGGGAAAAGGGAGGAAGGGACAGGGAGCCACUUAAUUUCCUUGUAGACAUUACAGUGUCAUUUGAUUUUUUAA